rnacentral:rRNA from 1 species
UUGCUCCCUGAUGUUAGCGGCGGACGGGUGAGUAACACGUGGGUAACCUGCCUGUAAGACUGGGAUAACUCCGGGAAACCGGGGCUAAUACYGGAUGCUUGUUUGAACCGCAUGGUUCAAACAUAAAAGGUGGCUUCGGCUACCACUUACAGAUGGACCCGCGGCGCAUUAGCUAGUUGGUGAGGUAAUGGCUCACCAAGGCAACGAUGCGUAGCCGACCUGAGAGGGUGAUCGGCCACACUGGGACUGAGACACGGCCCAGACUCCUACGGGAGGCAGCAGUAGGGAAUCUUCCGCAAUGGACGAAAGUCUGACGGAGCAACGCCGCGUGAGUGAUGAAGGUUUUCGGAUCGUAAAGCUCUGUUGUUAGGGAAGAACAAGUACCGUUCGAAUAGGGCGGUACCUUGACGGUACCUAACCAGAAAGCCACGGCUAACUACGUGCCMGCAGCCGCGGUAAUACGUAGGUGGSAAGCGUUGUCCSGAAUUAUUGGGCGUAAAGGGCUCGCAGGSGGUUUCUUAAKUCUGAUGKGAAAGCCCCCGGSUCAACCGGGGAGGGUCAUUGGAAACUGGGGAACUUGAGUGCMGAASARGAGAGUGGAAUUCCMCGUGUASCGGKGAAAUGSGUAKAGAUGKGGAGGAACACCMGGUGGKGAAKKSG